rnacentral:rRNA from 1 species
AACUUAAGCAUAUCAAUAAGCGGAGGAAAAGAAACCAACAGGGAUUGCCCUAGUAACGGCGAGUGAAGCGGCAACAGCUCAAAUUUGAAAGCUGGCCUUCGGGUCCGCAUUGUAAUUUGUAGAGGAUGCUUUGGGGCAGCCGCCUGUCUAAGUUCCUUGGAACAGGACGUCAUAGAGGGUGAGAAUCCCGUAUGUGACAGGACAUGGCACCCUAUGUAAAGCUCCUUCGACGAGUCGAGUUGUUUGGGAAUGCAGCUCUAAAUGGGAGGUAAAUUUCUUCUAAAGCUAAAUACCGGCGAGAGACCGAUAGCGCACAAGUAGAGUGAUCGAAAGAUGAAAAGCACUUUGGAAAGAGAGUUAAAAAGCACGUGAAAUUGUUGAAAGGGAAGCGCUUGCAAUCAGACUUGUUUUGACUGUUCGGCCGGUCUUCUGACCGGUUUACUCAGUCUGGACAGGCCAGCAUCAGUUUUGGCGGCCGGAUAAAGGCCUAGGGAAUGUGGCUCUCGCUUCGGUGGGAGUGUUAUAGCCCUGGGUGUAAUACGGCCAGCCGGGACUGAGG